UUGAACGCUGGCGGCAUGCUUUACACAUGCAAGUCGAACGGUAACAGGCCUUCGGGUGCUGACGAGUGGCGAACGGGUGAGUAAUGCAUCGGAACGUACCCAGAGGUGGGGGAUAACGCAGCGAAAGCUGUGCUAAUACCGCAUGUGAUCUGAGGAUGAAAGCGGGGGACCGAGCAGCAAUGUUUGGCCUCGCGCCUUUGGAGCGGCCGAUGUCGGAUUAGCUAGUUAGUGGGGUAAAGGCCUACCAAGGCGACGAUCCGUAGCUGGUCUGAGAGGACGACCAGCCACACUGGGACUGAGACACGGCCCAGACGCCUACGGGAGGCAGCAGUGGGGAAUUUUGGACAAUGGGCGCAAGCCUGAUCCAGCAAUGCCGCGUGCGGGAAGAAGGCCUUCGGGUUGUAAACCGCUUUUGGCAGGAACGAAACGGUGUCCGCUAAUACCGGGCGCUAAUGACGGUACCUGCAGAAUAAGCACCGGCUAACUACGUG
rnacentral:rRNA from 1 species